CACGGGGGGAGCAAGCGUUGCUCGGAAUCACUGGGCGUAAAGCGCACGUAGGCGGACUCUUAAGUCGGUGGUGAAAUCCUGGAGCUCAACUCCAGAACUGCCUUCGAUACUGAGAGUCUCGAGUCCGGGAGAGGUGAGUGGAACUGCGAGUGUAGAGGUGAAAUUCGUAGAUAUUCGCAAGAACACCAGUGGCGAAGGCGGCUCACUGGCCCGGUACUGACGCUGAGGUGCGAAAGCGUGGGGAGCAAACAGG
rnacentral:rRNA from 1 species